GUUUUGAAAAUGCGGACUGAACCCCCUCAAUAAUUUUUUCUUGUUUGUUGGCUCUUUGAGUCAUAUGCUAGUAAGUCCAAAGCCAGACAUCUCUAAGGCUGAGGAUAACUCGAUGAACUGACGUCCACAACACCUCCAUCGACAGAAAAUGUCCAUUUCAAUGGCCUUGUUCUCUCCUCCUCUGCCUACCCAAGUCCUACGAUCCCUCUCCUUCAAACCCUGUUUCACCCAUAAACCCGCUCGCUUUCUCAGACCCGCUAUUCCUUCCCUUCUCCUCUCCCCUCCAAAAUCCUCCACUGACAAUGGUGCUGGAAUUUCAGCCUCUGUAGAAGAACUAAAAGCGGAGGAAAAGGUUGCUCAGCCUUCUGGGUCUGCACCGGGGGCCGAAGAGAGCACUUUGGGGUCCAAUGGCACGGUGGCGGAUGCUGAGGUGAAGCCGGAAAGUAAAUUUAUAGAACCUAGAUGGGUUGGAGGGACUUGGGACUUGAAGCAGUUUCAGAAAGAUGGGAAAACUGAUUGGGAUGCUGUAAUUGAUGCCGAGGUUAGGAGGAGAAAAUGGCUUGAGGGAAAUCCAGAAUCAUCCCGCAAUGAUGACCCUGUAGUUUUUGACACCUCAAUCAUUCCAUGGUGGGCAUGGAUAAAAAGAUUCCAUCUACCUGAAGCGGAACUACUUAAUGGCCGUGCUGCGAUGAUCGGAUUCUUUAUGGCUUACUUUGUGGAUA
rnacentral:misc_RNA from 1 species